rnacentral:lncRNA from 1 species
CAACAUAUUGAGCAAUCAGUUCGCCAACGUUUGCGCUUUAAAGAGUCUUUGCCCUAAAAAUGGUACCCUGGAGGUCUCGGUGGGGAGAUAGGGGGCACUUUUAGGGCCUUGGUUCUGACUGGUCGCGCCCCGGGGGCGCCCUCACGCACGCUGCCUUCCGUCCUCCCCGUGCGCUUAGCCCACAUCCGGAAACCUGGGCAGUGAAGCCCUGGAGAAAAAGGAUUUAGUUUUAAGCCAGUUUCCCAUCGAUCGGGUUGGUAAUUCCUACCCCUGCCCACUCUCAGACACACUCACCUCUACCCUAAAGCAUUAAGUUCAUUACGCGAGCAAUGAUCUUAAUCUCCAGGCGGAAAACGAGUCCCGGGACCUCGCCGAAUGGGGGAGCAGUGAAUAAAGUCACCUGCUUCAUACACUAGCCCGGCUGGAUUCUCCCUGCGGGGGCCUCGUGUGACUGGGCGAGCUGCGUGGGUCCCUAGCUCCACGUCUAGGCGUGCCCGCCAGGGGUCAGGAACCCUGUGUCUGCUUUCUUUGGGUUGGAGACCUCCUCGAGGGGUGGGAUUGCGCG